CUUGGUCUGUGAUAAGUGUCCACAGUAGAGACACUUGUCACCACCAUGCCCAGCCCAAACAAAAACUUUUAAAACACCACAAAUCCCACGGAUCCCUCUCAUUUCACAAAAUCUUUCUCUCUCUCCUCACUCCCCCCAAAAAAAUUUGCAAUUCUUUUCACCCUCUCUGAGAAACCCUCACCGGAGAAGACAGUGGUUUCCGGUCACAGGCGGCGGCGCCACCUUCUUCUCCGACAGACCACCAUCCCAAAACCUAAAACAUUAAACACUAACCACCUUUAAUUUGGCCAAGGAUUUCGAAUCCGGUCUUAUAUUUACCAGAAACCCUUCCCUAAGCCAAGGUCGACCCUCAAACGAAGCCACAAAAUUCGAAACAAAAAAUACCAAACUCAUAAGACAAAAACCAAUUCAAAUCUUACUUCAAACACAAAUCAGAAACCGGAUUUGAAAAAAUCACAACCGAAAAAGAAAACCCUAAAAACGAAAUUCAACCUCAUACAUCAGGGUUUUCAAGAAAUUAACAAGGGGGUAUCAGUCAGAUCAUCAUGGAGAGGAAAGCGAUGACAAGAAAUGAAGAAGAAAAAAACAACUUACCAAAUCAUAGCUAGUCCGAUGACUUUUCCGGUGAAAGUAGAUUUCCCCUCGAUGGCUGUUCGUGGACUGAAUGAGGAUGAUGCCUUGUUGUGAUGCUAAUGGUCAUGCUGUUUUGUGGUUAGUGUAUGGACAAUGAGUAUGAUGGAUCAUGGAAGAUCAACACAUGGGCUGCCAUAAGGUCUCUCUCUUUUCAUUGAUGCUUUGAAAUUAAUGUUAAAGUAUUUUGUGAUAAUUGGUGUUCAUCGUGUAACAAAUGUAAUAUAGUGAAAGUUUGUAAAAAAAAAUCGAGUAAUGUGAUUUUGUAAAUAACAAUUUUUAGGAUGAUCAUGUUUAUGUAGUGAUCCUAUCUUAUGGUUGACAUGUAAUUAUGCUUAUGAAAUAGAAAGAAACUCCUAAUUAGGAUGAUA